GAUGAACGCUGGCGGCGGGCCUAACACAUGCAAGUCGAGCGAACGGACGAGAAGCGUGCUUCUCUGAUGGUAGCGGCGGACGGGUGAGUAACACGUGGAUAACCUACCUAUAAGACUGGGAUAACUACGGGAAACCGGUGCUAAUACCGGAUAAUAUUGUCAACCGCAUGGAUCAAAAGUGAAAGACGGUCUUGAUGUCAACGAUAGAUGGUUGCGCGUUGGAUUAGUUAGUUGGUAAGGUAACGGCUUACCAAGGCAACGAUGCGUAGCUGACCUGAGAGGGUGAUCGGCCACACUGGAACUGAGACACGGUCCAGACUCCUACGGGAGGCAGCAGUAGGGAAUCUUCCGCAAUGGGCGAAAGCCUGACGGAGCAACGCCGCGUGGGUGAUGAAGGUCUUCGGAUCGUAAAACUCUGUUAUUAGGGAAGAACAUAUGUGUAAGUAACUGUGCACAUCUUGACGGUACCUAACCAGAAAGCCACGGCUAACUACGUG
rnacentral:rRNA from 1 species